rnacentral:tRNA from 1 species
GCCGUGGUCAUGUAACUGGAAGCACGGUUGAUUGGCAAUCGGAAGGAUCCGCAGUUCGAAUCUCGACCACGGCA